UCAUUCAGCUGUUGUGGUUAAUAAUGGAUGGUUUUUCCUGGGUGAGGCUUAUUCAUUGCAUACUGGAUGUGCCGACCCCUGUGAUCUCCCCAAAUGUGGGAAAGUUGACUGCAUAAUUUGUGGUAGUGGGAGACUAUGUUCACCCUUUUCCCUG
ensembl:snRNA U1 U1 spliceosomal RNA